UGAGGUUGGAAACUUCUGUACAGUAAGGGUUGUUAGGCACUGCAAUGCCCAGGGAGGGGGUUGAGUCACCAUCCCUGAAUGUGUUUAAAAACCUUUUGGAUAUGGUGCUCAGGGCCAUGAUUUAGAGGAAGGUUGUUAAUUGGGGUAGUAUGGUCAGGUCGUGGUUGGACUUGGUGAUCUUUAAGGUCACUUUUCCUACCUGUGUGAUUCUCCAGCAGGGCCACCUGAAGUGGUGUCCGGGACUGUGUCCAGAUGGGUUUGGAGAUCUCCAAGAGGAGAGGCUGCAGCCUCUCUGGGUCCCUGUGCCAGUGCUGCAGUGCUUACAGUGCAGGAGUGCUCCUGAUGUUUGGUGGCAGCCUCUGGUCCUGGCACUGGGCUCCACUGGAUGCAGCCUGGCUCCAUCCUCUCUGCCCCUCCCUGCAGGGAUUGAUGGCUGUGGGUGGGAUUCCUCUGAGCUCCCUUUCUUCAGGCUGAGCGGCCCCCUCUGUCUCAGCCUCUUGUCAUAGAAGAGGUGUUUCAGUCCCUUCACCAUCUUGGUAGCCCUCCAUUGGACUCCUUGCAGUAUGUCUAGCCUGGGAGCCCAGACCUGGACACUGUUCUCUAGGUGCAGCCUCACAGAGCAAAAGUAAUGGUGCAGAAUAAAUCUGCUACAAGUCAGGAGUGGGGCUGUGAUGGGAGCACGCUGAUUUAUGACUGACAUGGAGAACUGCUAGGAAGAAAGCCUGGUGGGCCUGAACACAGAUACCAGGUGGUCCAGCUGUUUCACUGGAAACUAGAUACUUAAUGGGCAGCAAUGUGGAGAAAUGUUCUCCUUGUAGUUGUGCCCUGUGGCUUCUUUCUAAUGUGCUUGGGAAGUCCCACUAGAGUAGACUGCUGCGUGAGACGGAAGCCUGAUACCACAUCACAUGUGUGGGUGGAGGUUUACUAUCUCUGUUUUCACAUCUUUUAUGUUUGGUGGUUUUUUCUUUUCAAUUCAACUCUAUGUGUGCAUUGGUGCAAGUCUGCCUUUGCUAAAUCCUUUUCUUGUGGCCUUAGACAACAAUCAAGGGGGUCUCAAGUUUCAGCGCUAAGCAAGAAGUGCAGGCACUCAGGAAGGCCAUGAAGGGCUUUGGUAAGCUGAUCUUCCUCCACAGGUCAACUUUUUUUUUUUCCCCAGCACUGGGAAUGGCUGCACCACAAAUGGUGGUUUGUUAGAGGGAAGUGUAGCUGCUUGCAUUGCUCUGCUGCACAGCUGCCCUAAAAAUAGUUGGGAAGUGGAAACAGAACUGCCCUUCAUGUCCCGAAAUGCAGCUGCUCUGGUGGUGUGGGUCCUGGCAGCUUUGUGUACAUAGAUGGAUGUGUCCUGGGGCUGUUAAGAGCCGGCUGUGUAGGGGACUGGAGGUGGCACAGGAGCAGAGGGCACUUUGUUGUGCAAGCAGCCCACCUGGCUUCCAUUUGUUUCUUGCACGGAUGAAGAUGCCAUCAUCGACAUCUUGAUCAAACUAAAUGCUUCCCAACAUCAGUGAGUUCUGAUCACCUACAAGAGUGCUACAAGAGCACUCCUGGCAGGGCAGGUGGUCUGCAGAGAUGCGUGAAUGUGGUUGUGUCACUUGGGUGAAAAGUGAAAAACAACCCAGUCUCCAUAAGAGAAAGCAGAGACUUUACCUGACCAAAGUUGUUUUGUUCCCGUUCAGUUGAGAGCAGUUGUUGAUGCAAGGAGGGUUGGAGCCUGAAGAGAAGUGGUGAGCAGCUCAGUUCCUUCUGUCCUCAAAAGCUGUGCCUUCUGCCAACUCCUUUCUCCUCUCCUGGCCUUCUAGGAUUUGAUGGGUGACUCGAAGUCAGAUCUGAGGGGAAUUUUACAAGGGUGCUCAUUGGGAUGAUGACUCCCACCACCAUGUAUGAUGAGCAUGAACUAAGGAGGGCUGUGAAGGUUUGGAAAUCUUCCUUUUGUAUGGCUUACGUUCUGGCCAAGGGCUUGCUGCUUUGUUAUGUAUGUCUUACUAUGAAUUCUUAAAGAAACCUGUCUGCAUGUCACGAGCAGUUGCUGCUAUCUUAAAUCUUGAAUUGGUGAUUCCCUAGGGAGAGGAAUAGGUGCUGCCUGGUUGAAAUUGUGGCUUCUUGCACCAAUGAAGAAGUUGGUUGCAUUAAGGAGAACUACGAGCUUCGUAAGUAGUGUGACAGGCCAGGCCUUGUCCUGCUGCCUGACAGUCUGUGUGUGUGUGUGUGUGUGUGUGUGUGUGUGUGUGUGUGCAGGCAGAUGUGAAGAGGAAGGAGUCUGGGGAGCUUUCAGGUGUGACGGACUGGCCAACCUGGGUGUUGCUGUUUGUGCAGAGAGAAGCUAGACUGGAAUUUCACCAGCAGCUGAACUGGUGUAAAUAAAACAGGGAGGAGCAUUCUGUCUGUCAGCGGGACGUGUGGCUCUCUUGCCAGUUUCUUGCUGUCUGUGCUUCUUAAUUGGAGACUGCAGCACUGAUGAUGAUGGCUGGAGCGCUGCAGUGAUGCUGAGAGCCCUGGGCCCAGCUCUGCACGUAGCAGGUUAUGGCUGGAAAAUGUUGUGGGCAGCACCCAGGUGGUGGCCCAGCUCCUAAUGUGUGUGUGUUCUUGCUAGAAUGUGGCUCUCCCUUGAGGAUGGCAUCGUAUCUGACACAUCUUCCAUGUUUUGAAGGGUCCUCGUGUCCCUCGCAACGGUGAGCCAAGCUGAGGGGAAAGGAGGUGAAUCUUCAGAGCUGUGGGCACAGUUCUGCACUCAGUGGUGAGGAGCUCCAGGCUGGCUUUUUCUCACCCCGUGUGUCCCAUGGCUGCUCCUCAAGCCCAGCUUCUGCAGGGAGGGGACUCUGACUCUGGGUGUGCAUGAGUGCUGUGGGCUCUUCUUUAAACAUCCCAGUAAAGUGGGUUGCUGCUCAUUUUUAGAAGGAAGCCCAAAGCACACCUGAGCUGUGUUUCACUGUGUUUGUGAGCUACUCUUCCCUUUGAAGGACUCCAUUAUCCAUCUCCAGCAGCUGAUCCUGAAUGAGGAAUUCCCAGGAGUUGCUUCCAGUAGAUGCUCUGGUGAACAGAGUCUUCUAUCCUUUUGUCUUUGCAGGGAAACAGAGAUGAAGGAAUGUUUGUGGAUGUGCUCAGCAGAUGUUCAGUCAAGUGCAUGUGAAACGAGCCUGCGUGCUUUGCUGAAAGACUGUUUAAAUCCAUGGAGGUAAACAGAUUUUGGAGUAAGAUUGCUUGCUUCUUUCUUGCAUUUUCGUGCUCGAGUCAGCCAGCAGCAUUAUGGCAAUCGUGAGAUGGAAGCUGCAGCCAGUCAGGAAACUGGCUGUUCCAGGAAAGCUCAGGCUUUUCUGCACAUCAGGGUAGUAGCCAUACUCAGGAGCAAGCUGCUGCUAAUGGAUUGCUCCAUUAAUGCAAAAAUGCUGUAAUUAAGAGCAGCUCCUGCACAGGACUGGGCACUGAGACCUUUGUGUCUGUGGGUGAUUCUCCAGCAGUUCUGUGUCGGCUGCAUGUGGCUGCUUUGCUUUCCAGGGCCUGGGAACAGGCGACAGCACUGUGAUCAGAGCGAUGGUGUCCCGCUCCGAAAUGAAUCUUCUGGAUAUCAGAAGAGGAUUCCUGACCAUGUAUGGGAAGUCUCUCUACUCCUUCAUGAAGGUAAACUUGUCGAUGUUAACACAAGAAGUGGGAUUUUCUGAGUGCCUUUAAGGACUUGACAUCUGUUGGGUAUUUUAGAGCCUUUGAGAUGAAGCAGACUUUACAAAAACAUACUGAAAAUGUUCCUGAAUAUUCCUAAAUGGUCUAGGAUAUGAAUGCUGCAAGAAGAAAUCUGUCUUAAGAAGAAUUUUACUUUAAUAGAACUUAGAAAUUAUUCAUAUUCCUUUUUUUUUCUUAGUAACUCAGUUUGCUCUGGCCUUCUCUCUUCCUCUUCUCUACUUUCUUUUUUUCUGCACUCUUCUCCCUCUUUUCUCUGCACCAUUCCUUCCUUUCUUCCUCCAUCUGCCCAUUUUGCUGUUCCCUCUGUUCUCCCUACCCUCUUUUUUUUUUUUUUCUCUUGUCCUUUUUAGACCUGCUCUUCUUACCUGUAUCUUCUAUUCUGCUCUCUUUCUUUUCCCCUCUCAUUCAUCACCUUUCUGUUCUUCUCCCUUACAAGCUCCUCUCUUUUUUCUUUGUUCUGCUGUCUUUUCUCUCCUCUCCUUCUUUCCUCUCCUCUUUGUGGCAAGAGAACUCCGAGCUCCCUUACUGGUGUGGCAAGAGAGGUGCAGGCUUUCUUGCUGGUGCAGAAGGAAGGACGAAAGACCUUUAUUGUAGUGCUUACAACCUUUUAUACCCGCACAUCAACAACUGGUUACCUGCAGGAACAAGGCGCCUCAUGUGUGUUUAUGUCUGGCUCAAAUUACUGCUGAGCUUUUUUACUCAUAGCAAGAUAACAACUUUCUUUAUCCCACAUCUUCCCCUUCUUUAUUAAUAGAUAAAGAAGCACGGUUCAAAAACAAUCCUAAAAGCAGCUAAACUAAAAGCAAUACACCGAACAAACGAUGUGUUCUUUGGAGUACAAACAAUGGUCCAUAUUAACCAACCCCAACGACUCCAAUUCUUAUGAUUCCUCAGUGACACAGUUGACAAAGUGUGUCUUGUGGGUGAGAGUCCAAACCACUGGUGAAGGCGCUGUGAUCAUGUUACAGCAGAUGGUGAGACGGGUGGCCAGACCCCCAGAUUCACAUGAGCACCCCCUGGACACCGCAAGACACCUCUGGGAACAUCCCCAAACCCUUCUGGAUGAGUCUAGGACCACAGAGACCCACAUGAGGACUCCCUGGACCCUACCAGACCCUACUGGGACAUCUCCAGAUCUCCUCAGAACUCCUCAGAGCUCCUGGGCCUACAGUGGGAUCUUCCAGAUCCUUCCAGGGUGCCUUGGGACCAGCCUGGGGACUCCCUUGAACCGGGCUGGGGGUCGCCUUGGCAGCAGGAUGGGCUUCGGUGUGGAAGAAUCUUCCCAGUGCUCACCUCAGAGCUCAGGCUGAAGGCAGCAGUGCGUGGGAAGAAGGGGCCUCUAGCGCAUCCAUGGCACUGGGGAAUCUGGAGGGGAUGGGAAAGCAAACGGAGAAGCAGCAGAUGCUCUGCAGCACGGGAAGGGCUUAAGAGCCCAACUUUGGGCAGUGGUGCUCUGCAAACUGUUGGGAAGCAGCAGGAAAUUCUGCCAGUGGUUCCCUGGGAAGCUCCUUUGGAAGCUCUGGCCAUGUUCCUUGUGCUUCCUCCCAUUGAAUGCCUUUCUCUUCCAGAUGGCGUCAGCAGGACCUGUUGUGCAUGAGCUUCCGUCUCUGGGGAGCUCACCGGUUUGGAUGGAGGGGAGAGGCAGGAGCUGAAUGUGAAAACUACUCAGUUGUCAGCCAGGAAGGACCUCAUUCUUGAAUCAGUGUUUGAUGCCCUCCAAGAGAAUGAGAUCCAUGGAUUGAAGAGAGAGGUAAUGGUACUGCUCCCCUGUUUCCUCUCAGCCCUUUCCAGCUGAGAGGAAAGCUCUGUGCCCCGGCUGCCCACCCCACACCUGGCUUUCAGGCUCAGCCUCUCUUGGAUCUUGGAGCUGCUCUGCUUCCCUCACUGAGAGCUGCUGCUGGUGUUGGCUGCACAGUGCAGCUGGGAUCAGGGUGCUCUGUGCAGCACUGUGAAUUCCCCCUGGGCUGGGCCCAACAGGCACCUGCUGGGCUUGGCUUGGAGGCCGGACAUCGUCCCUUCCAAGACACUUGUGGAUCAGGAUUCUUAGCUGGAAGGGCCGUUCUCCAGGCCAGCUGCAACUGGAGCGCUGCAGGGCCUGGCUGGCUCAGGGCGUGAUCUGACUGCCUGUCCAGGCUGUUCUGGAGAUGGCACGAGGCUGGCAGCAAGAGGGUCAGGCAGAGCCCAAGGUCCAUCUUUGCUGUGUCUCUGGAGUCCUGUGGCUCAUCACGGCACACUUUCCGGAAGAUCUUGGUGGAUUUCUGGAAGGACACGGAGCCCUCCCUUAGCUCUUGGAUAGGACUCCCUCGUCACACUGAUCUCCUCCAGUGUUUGUGCUCACUGCUGUCUCUCCAUUCCCUAUUUGUUGCCAGGAAAUUCUGCAGUUGACACAGCGCACCAUUGAGAAAAUCAUGGAAAACAGUGUCUGGAUGCCUAACUGGGCUCUGGAAACCAUGGAUAUGUAGACAGACAGCUUUACUACACACAGCUUUGCGUCUGGCACUCCCCAUAGCCUGCCAAGAUCUGCUUUCUGUCAAUGUUAUCUCAUAGAGCUUUAGAAUGGCUGAGCUCUGAAGGGACCGUACAGACCAUCCCAGUCCAGCUCCCUGCCGUUAACAGGGCUGCCACCCUUUCCAUCAGGUGCCCAGGGCCCCCUCCAACCAGGUCUCCAGUGCCUCCAGGAAUGGGGCAUCCAUGGCUUCUCUGGGUGGCACAUUGCAGGGCCUCACCGCCUACUGGGGAUCAAGAAUUUCUUCCUGACAUCCCAUCUAAAUCUUCCCUCUCUGAGAAUUUAAAAAGCCUCCGCCUGCCCUCCUAGGGCUGACCAGCUCCUUUCCCCAGGUGUCAGCAGUGAAGUCAGAGUCAGAAGUCAGCAGUGCCUCCAAAGAGUUUGCUGUCUUGGUAAGACUCUGCUGCUGCUUCUGGAGGACCUGAGGAAAAGCUUUGCCAUAGAGCCCUGUAAGACCCCAUAGUGGUGGGAGCUCCUAGAGAGCUGCGGUGGGCUGCUGCAGAGCGCAGCAUCCUGCCCAAGGGCACGGAGACCCUCAGGGUGCUUACACAUCUCCAGAGGCCUCUGCUGCUCUUUGUGGCCAAGCAGCUGGGAGCAAUUGCUCCACGUGCCCUGCCUCAGGUUCACCCUCCUUUGUGCUCCAAUCCUGCCAGAGCCGAGGGAGUGGGCGAAGGGCUCCCAACUUUGGCCUUGGUGUGUUCUUUUUUGCAUGGCCAGCCUAAGUGUGACCGCUGUCAUCUCUGGUCUCUGAGGGAGUGGAUGAGGACGAAGGUGAAAUGAAUAACCAGGGGUUAUUCAUUUAUGACGUGGGGUAUGGCCAGUGCGUGCGGCAGGCUGCCAGAGAGGAAGGCCGGGCUGCCUGCAAGUCCUGGGAGGAAAGAGUUUGCCUGUUCAGCCGGGCCUUCCUCUGCUCUCCAAAGCGGCCGACUCCUGCGGGAAAUACAGACGAGGCGACCGUCCCACCUUUGGAAGAAUUAUUCUUCCUGCUAGAGCAGAGAGCAGUAGCGGGAAGAUGCUGUGGGAGGGAAACCGUCCUCCUGUGGAUGUGGAGGGACGACUGCUGGCGGGAGGGAGUGCAGCUGCCUUCCCCUAUCAGCAGCGCCGUUCUGGCGUCCCACGGCAGCCCAGGGAGCAGAGCAGACAGGAGGAGCCCCGCAAAGCCCUCGGCCGUGUCAGAUUGGAGGUGCGGAGCAACUGAGGAAACGCAGAAUGCACCUGCGUGUGCCGAGUGGAAAUUCACGGCAAUUUGUAAAAGACAGCGGUGAUUUUUAGAAGGGAAUAAUUAAACUAAAAUGCUGAUGACUUUC